rnacentral:ncRNA from 1 species
AUUUGGCAUUACUCUGCCCUAAUUGUCAUGCUUUAACGGAGAACUAUAGGGGAAAGAACAUUGGGGUUGCCCGGUGAGAAAUUUCCGGAGUAGAACUCGUCAAAUUCGGUGAACGCUUCGACGGUGACGUCGGUGCCAAUACCGAGCCAAGCCCCAGGCAACUGGGGAAGGUGUAGAGACUUGACGGCGAGCACCUAACCUUUCGUUGGUCAGCCAACGAAGUAUGGUGAAGAUAAAGUCCAGACCACAAACGCCCAG